CAGCAGCCGCGGUAAUACGAAGGGUGCAAGCGUUACUCGGAAUUACUGGGCGUAAAGCGUGCGUAGGUGGUGGUUUAAGUCCGUUGUGAAAGCCCUGGGCUCAACCUGGGAAUUGCAGUGGAUACUGGGUCACUAGGGUGUGUCAGAGGAUGGUGGAAUUCCCGGUGUAGCGGUGAAAUGCGUAGAGAUCGGGAGGAACAUCAGUGGCGAAGGCGGCCAUCUGGGACAACACUGACGCUGAGGCACGAAAGCGUGGGGAGCAAACAGGAUUAGAUACCCCCGUAGUCCCUGUCUCUUAUAC
rnacentral:rRNA from 1 species